AUUGAACGCUGGCGGCAUGCUUUACACAUGCAAGUCGAACGGCAGCGCGGGCUUCGGCCUGGCGGCGAGUGGCGAACGGGUGAGUAAUACAUCGGAACGUGCCCAGUAGUGGGGGUUAGCUCGGCGAAAGCCGGAUUAAUACCGCAUACGACCUGAGGGUGAAAGCGGGGGAUCUUCGGACCUCGCGCUAUUGGAGCGGCCGAUGGCAGAUUAGCUAGUUGGUGGGGUAAAGGCCUACCAAGGCGACGAUCUGUAGCUGGUCUGAGAGGACGACCAGCCACACUGGGACUGAGACACGGCCCAGACUCCUACGGGAGGCAGCAGUGGGGAAUUUUGGACAAUGGGCGAAAGCCUGAUCCAGCAAUGCCGCGUGUGUGAUGAAGGCCUUCGGGUUGUAAAGCACUUUUGGCGGGAACGAAAAGGACUGUGCCAAUACCACGGUUCGAUGACGGUACCCGCAGAAUAAGCACCGGCUAACUACGUG
rnacentral:rRNA from 1 species